rnacentral:rRNA from 1 species
AGUCGAGGGGUAUAGUAGCAAUACUAGAGACCGGCGCACGGGUGCGUAACGCGUAUGCAAUCUACCUUUUGCAGAGGGAUAGCCCAGAGAAAUUUGGAUUAAUACCUCAUAGUAUAACGACUCGGCAUCGAGAUGUUAUUAAAGUCACAACGGCAAAAGAUGAGUAUGCGUCCCAUUAGUUAGUUGGUAAGGUAACGGCUUACCAAGACUACGAUGGGUAGGGGUCCUGAGAGGGAGAUCCCCCACACUGGUACUGAGACACGGACCAGACUCCUACGGGAGGCAGCAGUGAGGAAUAUUGGACAAUGGGCGCAAGCCUGAUCCAGCCAUGCCGCGUGCAGGAUGACGGUCCUAUGGAUUGUAAACUGCUUUUGCACAGGAAGAAACAACGCUACGUGUAGCGUCUUGACGGUACUGUGAGAAUAAGGAUCGGCUAACUCCGUGCCAGCAGCCGCGGUAAUACGGAGGAUCCAAGCGUUAUCCGGAAUCAUUGGGUUUAAAGGGUCCGUAGGCGGUCUUAUAAGUCAGUGGUGAAAUCUCCCCGCUCAACGGGGAAACGGCCAUUGAUACUGUAGGACUUGAAUUAUUAGGAAGUAACUAGAAUAUGUAGUGUAGCGGUGAAAUGCUUAGAGAUUACAUGGAAUACCAAUUGCGAAGGCAGGUUACUACUAAUGGAUUGACGCUGAUGGACGAAAGCGUGGGUAGCGAACAGGAUUAGAUACCCUGGUAGUCCACGCCGUAAACGAUGGAUACUAGCUGUUGGGCGCAAGUUCAGUGGCUAAGCGAAAGUGAUAAGUAUCCCACCU